rnacentral:rRNA from 1 species
UGGGGAAUAUUGGACAAUGGGCGAAAGCCUGAUCCAGCCAUGCCGCGUGUGUGGAGAAGGUCUUCGGAUUGUAAAGCACUCUAAGUUGGGAGGAAGGGCAUUAACCUAAUACGUUAGUGUUUUGACGUUACCGACAGAAUAAGCACCGGCUAACUCUGUGCCAGCAGCCGCGGUAAUACAGAGCGUGCAAGCGUUAAUCGGAAUUACUGGGCGUAAAGCGCGCGUAGGUGGUUUGUUAAGUUGGAUGUGAAAGCCCCGGGCUCAACCUGGGAACUGCAUUCAAAACUGACAAGCUAGAGUAUGGUAGAGGGUGGUGGAAUUUCCUGUGUAGCGGUGAAAUGCGUAGAUAUAGGAAGGAACACCAGUGGCGAAGGCGACCACCUGGACUGAUACUGACACUGAGGUGCGAAAGCGUGGGGAGCAAACA